CAUAUCAAUAAGCGGAGGAAAAGAAACUAACAAGGAUUCCCCUAGUAACUGCGAGUGAAGCGGGAAAAGCUCAAAUUUAAAAUCUGGCAGUCUUUGGCUGUCCGAGUUGUAAUCUAGAGAAGUGUUAUCCACGCUGGACCGUGUACAAGUCUCCUGGAAUGGAGCGUCAUAGAGGGUGAGAAUCCCGUCUUUGACACGGACUGCCAGGGUUUUGUGAUGCGCUCUCAAAGAGUCGAGUUGUUUGGGAAUGCAGCUCAAAAUGGGUGGUAAAUUCCAUCUAAAGCUAAAUAUUGGCGAGAGACCGAUAGCGAACAAGUACCGUGAGGGAAAGAUGAAAAGAACUUUGGAAAGAGAGUUAAACAGUACGUGAAAUUGCUGAAAGGGAAACGCUUGAAGUCAGUCGCGUUGUCCAGGGAUCAACCUUGCUUUUGCUUGGUGCACUUUCUGGUUAACGGGUCAGCAUCAAUUUUGAUCAUUGGAAAAAAGUUGGGGGAAUGUGGCAUCUUCGGAUGUGUUAUAGCCCUUGGUUGUAUACAAUGGUUGGGAUUGAGGAACUCAGCACGCCGCAAGGCCGGGUUUUUAACCACGUACGUGCUUAGGAUGCUGGCAUAAUGGCUUUAAUCGACCCGUCUUGAAACACGGACCAAGGAGUCUAACAUACCUGCGAGUGUUUGGGUGGUAAACCCGAGCGCGUAAUGAAAGUGAAAGUUGAGAUCCCUGUCGCGGGGAGCAUCGACGCCCGGACCAGACCUUUUGUGACGGUUCUGCGGUAGAGCAUGUAUGUUGGGACCCGAAAGAUGGUGAACUAUGCCUGAAUAGGGUGAAGCCAGAGGAAACUCUGGUGGAGGCUCGUAGCGAUUCUGACGUGCAAAUCGAUCGUCAAAUUUGGGUAUAGGGGCGAAAGACUAAUCGAACCAU
rnacentral:rRNA from 1 species